rnacentral:rRNA from 1 species
UUGAGCGGAGAUAUAUGGAGCUUGCUCUAUAUAACUUAGCAGCGAACGGGUGAGUAACACGUAGAUAAUCUAUCCUAUACUGGGGGAUAGCCCGAUGAAAGUUGGAUUAAUACCGCAUAUAGCUAUAUAGUUGCAUGAUUAUGUAGUGAAAGAUUUAUUGGUAUAGGAGGAGUCUGCGGCACAUUAGCUAGUAGGUGAGGUAAAGGCUUACCUAGGCGACGAUGUGUAGCCGGUCUGAGAGGAUGAACGGCCACAAUGGAACUGAGACACGGUCCAUACUCCUACGGGAGGCAGCAGUGGGGAAUAUUGCACAAUGGGGGAAACCCUGAUGCAGCAACGCCGCGUGAGUGAAGAAGGUUUUCGGAUUGUAAAGCUCUGUUAGCAGGGAAGAGGAAGGACGGUACCUGCAGAGGAAGCCACGGCUAACUACGUGCCAGCAGCCGCGGUAAUACGUAGGUGGCAAGCGUUGUUCGGAAUAACUGGGCGUAAAGGAUGCGUAGGCGGUUAAACAAGUUAUAUGUUAAAUAUAUAGGCUUAACCUGUAGAAAGCAUAUAAAACUGUUUAACUAGAGUGCAGGAGAGGUAAGUGGAAUUCCUAGUGUAGCGGUGAAAUGCGUAGAGAUUAGGAAGAACACCAGUGGCGAAGGCGACUUACUGGACUGUAACUGACGCUGAGGCAUGAGAGCAUGGGGAGCAAACAAGAUUAGAUACCCUGGUAGUCCAUGCUGUAAACGAUGGGUACUAGGUGUGGGUUGUGAAUAACAAUUCGUGCCGUCGCAAACGCAAUAAGUACCCCGCCUGA